AGGACUGCCGGUGACAAACCGGAGGAAGGUGGGGAUGACGUCAAGUCCUCAUGGCCCUUAUGGGUAGGGCUUCACACGUCAUACAAUGGUCGGUACAGAGGGUUGCCAACCCGCGAGGGGGAGCUAAUCCCACAAAGCCGAUCGUAGUCCGGAUCGCAGUCUGCAACUCGACUGCGUGAAGUCGGAAUCGCUAGUAAUCGUGGAUCAGCAUGUCACGGUGAAUACGUUCCCGGGUCUU
rnacentral:rRNA from 1 species